GCGCCCCUGCACUCCAGCCUGGGCGACAGAGCGAGACUCCGGCUCAAAAAAAAAAAAAAACAAAAAAAACAAAGUGGAGAGGACAAAAAAGCAGAGAAGGAUGAUCAGAGGGGGACCCUCAGCCCUUCGAGGAGAGACAGCAGCCUCAGGCCACCACAAAGGAUUUUGUGGAGUCAACCCAGGCCUGAGAGCGUUAAUUAUCCCUGGCUUUCAUCUUUAUGCUCUUGCAGGGGGUUGCUCGAAAUGCCUGGUGGCUCGACCUCUGCACGGAGCCCCUAGCCCAGCCUCCCCGUGGGCUGGAACCUUGGUCUAGGCCUGAUUCUGGCUGCUCUGGGGACAAGCCCUCGUCCUUUGCUGAAGCUGAGGCUCCAGAGGGGGAGUCACUGCCACGAAGGUUGCCCAGAACUUUCCUUGCUGCAGAAAGCCCCAAGACUUCUCCCUGCCACACACACAGCUCUUGCCGUCGCGUUCUAGAAGCUGACAGCUUUCUCUCCAACACUGUCCUCCCUGAGUAUGGUAAAGCUACACUUGGCUUCCCCAGGAGCUUCCUGCCUAGAAACAAAUUUUUGCCACUCUGCUUUUCAAAUGGGAUAUAUGAUUCAUAUACCACAAAAUUCACCACUUUAUAUAA